CAGGCUUAACACAUGCAAGUCGAGGGGUAGCAUGGUCUUAGCUUGCUAAGGCCGAUGGCGACCGGCGCACGGGUGAGUAACGCGUAUCCAACCUGCCUUACACUCUUGGACAGCCUUCUGAAAGGGAGAUUAAUACAAGAUGUUAUCAUGAGUAAGCAUUUUCGCAUGAUUAAAGGUUUACCGGUGUAAGAUGGGGAUGCGUUCCAUUAGAUAGUAGGCGGGGUAACGGCCCACCUAGUCUUCGAUGGAUAGGGGUUCUGAGAGGAAGGUCCCCCACAUUGGAACUGAGACACGGUCCAAACUCCUACGGGAGGCAGCAGUGAGGAAUAUUGGUCAAUGGACGAGAGUCUGAACCAGCCAAGUAGCGUGAAGGAUGAAGGUUCUAUGGAUUGUAAACUUCUUUUAUACGGGAAUAAACGGAUCCACGUGUGGAUUUUUGCAUGUACCGUAUGAAUAAGGAUCGGCUAACUCCGUGCCAGCAGCCGCGGUAAUACGGAGGAUCCGAGCGUUAUCCGGAUUUAUUGGGUUUAAAGGGAGCGUAGAUGGGUUGUUAAGUCAGUUGUGAAAGUUUGCGGCUCAACCGUAAAAUUGCAAUUGAUACUGGCAGUCUUGAGUACAGUUGAGGUAGGCGGAAUUCGUGGUGUAGCGGUGAAAUGCUUAGAUAUCACGAAGAACUCCGAUUGCGAAGGCAGCUUACUAACCUGUAACUGACAUUGAUGCUCGAAAGUGUGGGUAUCAAACAGGAUUAGAUACCCUGGUAGUCCACACGGUAAACGAUGAAUACUCGCUGUAGGCGAUAUACAGUCUGCGGCCAAGCGAAAGCAUUAAGUAUUCCACCUGGGGAGUACGCCGGCAACGGUGAAACUCAAAGGAAUUGACGGGGGCCCGCACAAGCGGAGGAACAUGUGGUUUAAUUCGAUGAUACGCGAGGAACCUUACCCGGGCUUAAAUUGCAACCGAAUAUGGCGGAAACGCUAUAGCUAGCAAUAGCGGUUGUGAAGGUGCUGCAUGGUUGUCGUCAGCUCGUGCCGUGAGGUGUCGGCUUAAGUGCCAUAACGAGCGCAACCCUUGCCGAUAGUUACUAACAGGUUAUGCUGAGGACUCUGUCGGGACUGCCAUCGUAAGAUGUGAGGAAGGUGGGGAUGACGUCAAAUCAGCACGGCCCUUACGUCCGGGGCUACACACGUGUUACAAUGGGGGGUACAGAGGGCUGCUACCACGCAAGUGGAUGCCAAUCCCAAAAACCUCUCUCAGUUCGGAUUGAAGUCUGCAACCCGACUUCAUGAAGCUGGAUUCGCUAGUAAUCGCGCAUCAGCCACGGCGCGGUGAAUACGUUCCCGGGCCUUGUACACACCGCCCGUCAAGCCAUGGGAGCCGGGGGUACCUGAAGUGCGUAACCGCAAGGAGCGCCCUAGGGUAAAACUGA
rnacentral:rRNA from 1 species